AUGUUGAAUCAAGGAGCGAAAUGCAAUGAAACCAAGGCUCCUCCACUCAAUCCAACAACACAACCCAUAUUUUUAUUUUUCUGCAUCAAACCUUCAGGAAGUGAAAUUCAGUGGUUCUUGACUUUGGAGAGGGAAAUCCAGAAAACUCAGAGAAGACGAAGAAGCGUUAUGUUGUUGUUCUGGUUUGCUGUGAUGAAUAUGCGAAGGUGA